rnacentral:rRNA from 1 species
UACAGAGGAUGCAAGCGUUAUCCGGAAUGAUUGGGCGUAAAGCGUCUGUAGGUGGCUUUUUAAGUCCGCCGUCAAAUCCCAGGGCUCAACUCUGGACAGGCGGUGGAAACUACCAAGCUGGAGUACGGUAGGGGCAGAGGGAAUUUCCGGUGGAGCGGUGAAAUGCGUAGAGAUCGGAAGGAACACCGGUGGCGAAGGCGGGUCUCUGGGCAUCUCCUGACGCUGAGGCGCGAAAGCGUGGGGAGCAAACAGG